rnacentral:rRNA from 1 species
GAGUUUGAUCAUGGCUCAGGACGAACGCUGGCGGCGUGCUUAACACAUGCAAGUCACGGGGGUCCCGCAAGGGAUAACCGGCGAACGGGUGCGUAACACGUGAACAACCUGCCCUCGUGUGGGGGAUAGCCGGGCUAACGCCCGGGUAAUACCGCAUACGGUCCUUUGGGGGAGUCCCUGGGGGAAGAAAGCUCCGGCGCACGGGGAGGGGUUCGCGGCCUAUCAGCUAGUUGGGGGGUAGU